GGGUGCGUAGCUCAGUUGGCUAGAGCAGCGAUCUCCAAAGUCGCCGGUCGGGGGUUCGAAUCCCUCCGCACUCG
rnacentral:tRNA from 1 species